rnacentral:rRNA from 1 species
GACGUAGGGCGCGAGCGUUGUCCGGAAUUAUUGGGCGUAAAGGGCGCGUAGGCGGCCAUGCGUGUCUUCCGUGAAAUCCCUCGGCUUAACUGAGGACGUGCGGAAGAAACUGCAAGGCUCGAGUCCGGGAGAGGGGGGUGGAAUUCCCAGUGUAGCGGUGAAAUGCGUAGAUAUUGGGAGGAACACCGGUGGCGAAGGCGGCCCCCUGGACCGGUACUGACGCUCAGACACGACAGCAUGGGGAGCGAACGGG